AGUUGAUUUUUUGUAGUAGGUAAUUGUAGUUGAGUAAAGCUCAUGGAGCAGAUCUGAUUCAAUUGUGUCUCAAUGUUGUGAAUGAAUGCGCUGAACUGUCGUAGUAGAUGGAGUGAUGUCACGGUUUUCGGAUUGGCCAGUUAUGUUGCUAUCGGUACACAUCGCGUUAGUAUGCGGCAUCGAGAGAUGUGUAUGGAAUGAUAACAUGCUUGAAUCAGCCUUCCUUCCUCUGAUUUGAGAGCUGGGUCGUGUUAAUUGUAUAUCAUGACGCUAGAUGUGUUCGUCGCUCUCAAUCCUUGGACACUGACGAUCGUUAUGCCUCCAGUCAAGGUUUUUCUUUAUGUCGUACGUUGGCGGAUAUCGCUCAAGAGCGCUUGCGUGCUGUGGACAUUGGGAAUUGCCCAAGAAUUAUAACUGACCAUGGAGUGGGGAUAGUCUUCCCGGGUACAUGCAACGGCAUCUGCUGCAACCAAGAAUUUGAUGGUCACCUCAGUUAUCGACGAGAUUAUUAAAGAUGAAUCAUCUAGGUACAUUUGUUUUGUAUUGGAGAUGUUUGAUUUCUCAAACCAACCAAGGGCGCUAAGUAGCUCAGUAUUCCGGAUUACGUAAGGUGCGCGCAUGAAUAAGUUUCAUGCAUGCACUGCUGCUCAUUUUAAGGAUUACUUGUGGACCGAAUCUUCUGAGCCGAAGAAUCCAGAUGCUUUUCAAAAUGUAUACCGACCACUUCCCUUGUUUUAUUCCAUGCGCACACUGAAAACCAAUCAACCAUCGCUCUUAGCCACCAACUCAACUCAGACCAGGGUAGCAUUUAAACAUCAUUAGUUGUUCUGUUCGUCAACAAAAGAAGUGUCUCCUGGCAACUGAGGCAAACGAGCUUCCUCUCCAUUCUAUGAUUACGAGCAUCAAAGUUGAGAAAACAGGAAAUUAGAAUUCCAAUUCACAUGCUUAUGAAAAGGUUCUAAUCCAACUAUCACCUAAACAAGAAAUGAAUAUUGACAUGUAGAAGUUAUCUGAAAAGUUUUGAAAUGACGAAUUUGCUUCUACUGAUGCUUUCAGAAUAUACGCUGAGGAGUGAUUAGAAAGAUGCUGACUUCCAAUCUGCUAAUGUUUUCAGAAGUGCUUAGAUUUCGCCACUAGUUAUGCCGAGUCUAAGGUCUCUGGUGGCUGCAACACAAGCUGCUCAGAGACUAAGCACAUUUAGGGUUUGUUACGACCAAUCGAAGUUCAAAAGAAUGGUAAGAUUUGCGGGCGAAGACAAGUUAAUUCUUCUGUUGCAGGACGGAAGACUUCCAGAAGGCCAGAUGGAAAGUUUGGAGGGUACCACGGACAUUGAAAUCCGACAUCUCUACACUCUUUCAAAAUUUUUCAGCCUUAUGAAGAGAGUAGUGAUGUGCAUGCACACCAAUGUCCAAUGCUGAUCUAAGGGGAGCAAUGAUUGAUCUUCGGUUCAGAGUGCAGAAGAGAAGAACAUCAGCGAAGUUGUACCACCCAUUUCCCGUUUCUGCAGCAGUAAGUUCUCAUUCCAAAACUUGCUGGCAACCAGGAAGAGCAUUCACACGCAAAACGUGAGACUUAUUGCGAGAUGUAACCACUCCGAAAUAGCUGCAUGCUUUUGUUUGGAAUAACCACUAGUAGAUACAAUUGUUGUGCAGCAAUUUGAGACCACGAGACAAUCGAAUCUGUAGGAAUACCAGACAAGAUCAUGAGCACUCUUGGUUCAUUCACAACUAUGGACGCCAAGUUCUGUGAUGACCCAAUAUGUUAUCAAUUAGAGCUAGAGUUUCACGAACCUUUUGUGCCGAUCGAUGCUACGGCUGAAGGAAACCGACUGUGCUAGACGAGCGUAACAGCUUAGGGUAAGCGUAGAAGGGAAGUCCUAUUUCAUGAAAAAGGUUACUCAUCUUUCAGCUCAAAUUGACGGUGUUUUAACCGACAUCUUUCAUGUACUUCAAAAUUUAAGUUGUCGAUU